GUCAACCUGACGACGAAUUUGUGGCAACAGAGAACUUUUCUCUUCCACCGAUCGAGCUACAGCCAUUCGCUUGAAGCGGCCCCGGCCCCUCACUGGGAUGGGCGUCCCCAUCCCCUCCCCUCUCCUGCUCGCCUGCUCCGAUCCUCACCUCACCGCCCCCACGGACAUGCGCCGGCCGCGCCACCACCAAUAUGCCCGUAUCGCAAAGCGAGCGGCCAGCGCUGGACGGACGCCAGGUCCGGCGGUGCCGCGACCCUCCGACGGCCGGGGCGGUGCCGAGCGGAUCUUCGUCGGGGCGCCGCCAACCGGGAGCCGGGAAGGCUGAGCGGUCGGGCACCCGCACCGGGCGGUGAGCGGCGAUAGCGAGGAGCGGGGGAUUUUGCCGUGCCCACCUGGAAAUUUGCAGUUGAUCCAUGCCGUACCCGUACACCAGCUCAAGCAUUGACGAGGGCAACUGGAGAUAUUUCAGCAACCUGGACCACUACAGUGAUGGCAUUGACUAGCGAGCUUGUGGCUGUAUUGUUUAUGCUGCAGCCAAUGUUAGCCUAGAUGUCCGUUUAGCGUGUAGACGGACCGGGGUUUAAACGAUGAUUUGCACUGUAUAUACAUAUAAAAUUACAGUUUAUAUAUAUUUUUAAGUGCAAUUUGAGACA